ACGCGUGAAACCUUACCAAGACUUAAAUGGGAAUUGACAGCUUUAGAAAUAGAGCUUUCUUCGGACAAUUUUCAAGGUGCUGCAUGGUUGUCGUCAGCUCGUGCCGUGAGGUGUUAGGUUAAGUCCUGCAACGAGCGCAACCCCCUGUCACUAGUUGCCAUCAUUCAGUUGGGGACUCUAGUGAGACUGCCUACGCAAGUAGAGAGGAAGGUGGGGAUGACGUCAAAUCAUCACGGCCCUUACGUCUUGG
rnacentral:rRNA from 1 species